ACCACCUGGAAAUCUUGUUAAAAUACAGAUUCUGAUUUAGUUGGUCUGAAAAGUUGAGAUUCAGCAUUUCUAACAAGUUUCCAGAUGAUGCUAG
rnacentral:pre_miRNA from 1 species